UCUGGUGGUUAUAGCGGAGUGGUCAUACCUGUUCCCAUCCCGAACACAGAAGUCAAGCACUCCCGCGGCUGAAAUAGCCUUCGGGUGAAUCAAGCUCGCUGCCAGGU
rnacentral:rRNA from 1 species